UGGGGAAUAUUGCGCAAUGGGCGAAAGCCUGAUGCAGCGACGCCGCGUGCGGGAUGAAGGUUUUCGGAUCGUAACCCUCUGUCAGAAGGGAAGAAACCGCACUGUGCUAAUCAGCAGUGCCUUGACGGUACCUUCAAAGGAAGCACCGGCUAACUCCGUUCCAGCAGCCGCGGUAAUACUGAGGGUGCAAGCGUUAAUCGGAAUUACUGGGCGUAAAGCGCACGUAGGCUGCUUUGUAAGUCAGGGGUGAAAUCUCACGGCUCAACCGUGGAACUGCCUUUGAUACUGCUUAGCUUGAAUCCGGGAGAGGGUGGCGGAAUUGCAGGUGUAGGAGUGAAAUCCGUAGAUAUCUGGAGGAACAUCAGUGGCGAAGGCGGCCACCUGGACCGGUAUUGACGCUGAGGUGCGAAAGCGUGGGGAGCAAACAGG
rnacentral:rRNA from 1 species